rnacentral:rRNA from 1 species
UACGGGGGGAGCAAGCGUUGUUCGGAUUUACUGGGCGUAAAGGGCGCGUAGGCGGCCACCGCAAGUCGACUGUGAAAUCUCCGGGCUUAACCCGGAAAGGUCAGCCGAUACUGCGGGGCUAGAGUGCAGAAGGGGCAACUGGAAUUCUCGGUGUAGCGGUGAAAUGCGUAGAUAUCGAGAGGAACACCUGCGGCGAAGGCGGGUUGCUGGGCUGACACUAAGGCGCGACAGCGUGGGGAGCAAACAGG